AGGACGAACGCUGGCGGCGUGCCUAACACAUGCAAGUCGAGCGGGACGAUUGCGACGGAGACGAAGUACUCGUACGGAGUCAAAGAUGUAAUGUUCUAGCGGCGGACGGGUGAGUAACGCGUGAGCAACCUGUCCCUUACAGGGGGAUAACACAGCGAAAGUUGUACUAAUACCGCAUAAGACCACAGAGUGACAUCGCUCAGGGGUCAAAGGAGCAAUCCGGUAAGGGGUGGGCUCGCGUCCGAUUAGAUAGUUGGUGAGGUAACGGCCCACCAAGUCGACGAUCGGUAGCCGACCUGAGAGGGUGAUCGGCCACAUUGGGACUGAGACACGGCCCAAACUCCUACGGGAGGCAGCAGUGGGGAAUAUUGGGCAAUGGGGGAAACCCUGACCCAGCAACGCCGCGUGAGGGAAGAAGGUUUUCGGAUCGUAAACCUCUGUCCCAGGUGAAGAGGAAGAGACGGUAGCCUGGGAGGAAGCCCCGGCUAACUACGUGCCAGCAGCUGC
rnacentral:rRNA from 1 species